rnacentral:rRNA from 1 species
CCCCACUAUGCUCAGCCGUCAACCUUAAUAUAACAACACACUAAUAUAUUCGCCAGAGAACUACAAGCAAAACGCUUGAAACUCUAAGGACUUGGCGGUGUCCCAUAUCCCCCUAGAGGAGCCUGUCCUAUAAUCGAUAAUCCACGUUCUACCUUACCAUCUCCGGCAACUCCAGCCUAUAUACCGCCGUCGCCAGCUUACCCUAUGAAGGUCAAACAGUAAGCAAAAUUGCCUCACACAAAAACGUCAGGUCAAGGUGUAGCUAAUAAGAUGGAAGAGAUGGGCUACAUUUUCUUAUAACAGAACAUACGAAAGAUACAAUGAAACACUGUAACUAAAGGCGGAUUUAGUAGUAAAAUAAUAAAGAACAACUAUUUUAAACUUGCUCUG